CCCAUCUAGCUGUGCCCUCUCUACAAGCUUGCUGAGCUCAGGAGCCGUGGCAAUGCACUUGGAAUACAGUCUUGCACGUGGUGUCUUUCGUUGGCAGAUGCUCCAUUUAGAGGUGAAGUUUGAUUUGUUGAGCUAUGCCAAUGGUGUCACUCCAGGAAACCUUUAUACUGACUCCAGAUGAGGUCAAAUGACUACAAUUUCAGACACCAUUCAAAAGGCUCUAGUGACUGACCGCCUUCGCCACCAGGAAGUCCAGCUGAUGCAGAGAGGAAUGAGACUCCAAAGUUCCAUAGAAACAACCUUUCAGCAAGGCGAGACACACGACAAGGACCCGUGAAGUCCAGGCUCUCCUAAACUUACUGUGUAGUUGAAGACAAUCUUAAACUUCUGGUCCUCCCUGGUUAAAUUUAAACGAUGCACGAGGCAGAUCUCCUGCGCUUCUCUGUGACUGAUCCACCACAAAUUUUCAUGUCAUGCCAGCUCUCUUAGCAAACGCUGAGGCAGGAUCGCAUUUGCGAGAGAUUUGUUGGAGAGAGAAGACAAGACCAGGUAAGAGGACCCCUUAACGUGCUGACGCAGGUCUGGACCCCUUAGCGCGGUGAUGCAGGUCUGAAUCCCUUAACAUGGUGAUGAAGGUCUGGACCCCUUAGCGUGGUGAUGAGGGUCUGGACCCUUUAACAUGGUGAUGAGGUCUGCUGCUGUGGAAAGAGAAAGGAAAGGACAGGUAGAAGGGACUGGGUAGAAGAGCUUCCAGUAGCACCCGCAUUCCGAGUGAGAAUUGGCUAGCUCAGUAGGAACUCCUUAGACCUUUUGAAAAAUCUGAUUUCUCUUAGAAAUUGGCCUGUAUUAAUAUUCUACAUCCCCAGCUCAAAUGUACUCCAUCAUGAUCUUGGAGCAGACUUAGAGAACAGGCCUCAGAAUGAGUAUGGUUCUAGAUCCAGCUGAGGCUUCAGCCAGGGGUAGUCCCUACAGCAUUGGUCAUGUAAAGCACACUUCUCCGGUCACAACUCUGUAAGCACCGGUGUCGUCAGAACCAGUUUGUGGGGUGCACUUCAUUACUUAUCAAACCCAUCUUUGCGGCACUCCUACAACACAACAAGCAUCGUGUUCAGUGGUAUAAAGUCUAUGGGGGGGC